rnacentral:rRNA from 1 species
CAGGGAAUUUUGCGCAAUGGGCGAAAGCCUGACGCAGCAACGCCGCGUGGGGGAAGAAGGCCUUCGGGUCGUAAACCCCUUUUGCCGGGGAAGAUCAUGACGGUACCCGGCGAAUAAGCCACGGCUAACUACGUGCCAGCAGCCGCGGUAAUACGUAGGUGGCAAGCGUUGUCCGGAUUUAUUGGGCGUAAAGCGCGCGCAGGCGGUCCGUUAAGUCCGAGGUGAAAUCUCCCGGCUCAACUGGGAGGG